AGCGGGAGAGUCGUCUGCUGGGUAGUUACUGGUUAGUUAAAUUGUUUGUUCGUUGUGACUUGUGAGGGUCUGUAGUGGUUGGAUGUCAGACGCUUUCUUUAUGGAGAAGUCUGCGAAUAUGCCGGCUGACCGUGUUACAGACCAGGAAGUAGACAUGUUCGAAGGGUUGAUGAGGUUAUCACUAAAGGGUCUGACUUCGUCGUUGUAGUACAUUCAGUUUGGAAAAUGUAUGCGCAGUACAAUAAAUUCUUGCAGUUGGAUCUUCCAUGUUGCAUCUAAGCAAUUGACAAGUUACAAGUACUGUUUAUAAGAGAGUUGCAGUUAAAGAUCACCUUCUGUGUGACAUCAAAAUACGUUAGUAGCUGGAAUUUUCUCUUUCCUAAAAAAUUAAGUAUCACUUGCGGGCGAAGUUAUUCGAAAAAAUCUUGUCAUUGUAAACCUAUUCAGGUCACACAGUUGUCUUCCAGCGGAGGAGAGGCAAUAUUGUGGUCACUCCUCUGUACCUCAUUCUCUUGCGAAAAGUAUAACUUAAUCCACACACAAUAAAUGCACAGAUGUGGUAGGCCCUACCGUUACAAAUGUUGCUGUGGCACAUUACCUGGAUGUGGAACAUCGAGGUACGAGCUAAUCAAAGAGGGAUUUUUUUUUACCAGAAUCAUGUGACUGACUGAGUCAGAUGCCAUGGCCAGAGACAUUUGUUGCGCCUGUCUGUGACUCAACAUCUCCCCUAAAUGAUGCAAAAGCCCACGAGCAGGAAGAAACAAAUGGCAAAGUUCUAUCUGCAAAUGAUGUCACAAUACCGUCAGACAUCCAUUCCACUACUAGGAUGCCCUACCUGUGAUGAGGAAGCAAGCAGUGAUAGUGUCAGAAUACAAGAGAUAAAUGGAACUCAAAAUAUCACUGUCACUUGGAAGACUGAUGAAACUAUCAUGUUUACUUUUUUUUGUGCUCCAUAGUAUAUAAAGUAUCUUCUGCAGAGUAUUCAUUGGGAAGAAAAGAACACACAUAAGACACUGAUUGUUGCAGCCCUCAAUGUUGAGUAAUUUAUGUGCAGUUGCCUUUCAAGAUUAGUAAUACAGUGUUAAAUAAAGUUAGUAUUAAAAAUCACAACAGUGUUUCACAGAGGCAAAUGUCAAGUGAUAAAAUCUGGAGAAACAGAUAAUCAUACCCGUUAUUUUCUAAGCCUCAUAAGUGAUUAUGUUAUGGACAUGUGAGAGUAAAUAUUUUUAAUGUCUUGCAGAAGCUCCUGUAUGAUAUCCUAGUAAUAUCCCUCUACAUCAUUGUAACUACAUGUAAAUCUGUGCUUUAUUCCUUUAUUAUCCCACACAGAUUGCAAAUUCAAUUGCUAAAGUAUUGCUGGCAUGUCUAACACAUUCAAAAACUGAAUCACUACCACAAUGAUACAUGUGAUGGUCAUUUAGAGUCUGUACAUCAUUAUAAACAUCAGUUCCAUACACUUCCCAUGCAUAAAUGCUAAUCAUGUAAAUUCCCAGUAACAAAAUAAUAAUAAAUAAAUAAAUAUUUGUGUGGUACUUUCAUGAAAUGAAAGCUGCACCUAAGUGUUGUUAGCAUUUGUCUAUGAAAUGUACUUCCUGGGUGGCACACUGCCAGAACCUUUUUAUUCCCAACUUGACUUUCUUUUGUUUACACUACCAGUCAAUAUUAUCCCAGAAUUUUUUUGUCCUUUG